ACGCUGGCGGCGUGCCUAAUACAUGCAAGUAGAACGCUGAAGGAGGAGCUUGCUUCUCUGGAUGAGUUGCGAACGGGUGAGUAACGCGUAGGUAACCUGCCUGGUAGCGGGGGAUAACUAUUGGAAACGAUAGCUAAUACCGCAUAAGAGUAGAUGUUGCAUGACAUUUGCUUAAAAGGUGCAAUUGCAUCACUACCAGAUGGACCUGCGUUGUAUUAGCUAGUUGGUGGGGUAACGGCUCACCAAGGCGACGAUACGUAGCCGACCUGAGAGGGUGAUCGGCCACACUGGGACUGGGACACGGCCCAGACUCCUACGGGAGGCAGCAGUAGGGAAUCUUCGGCAAUGGACGGAAGUCUGACCGAGCAACGCCGCGUGAGUGAAGAAGGUUUUCGGAUCGUAAAGCUCUGUUGUAAGAGAAGAACGAGUGUGAGAGUGGAAAGUUCACACUGUGACGGUAUCUUACCAGAAAGGGACGGCUAACUACGUGCCAGCAGCCGCGGUAAUACGUAGGUCCCGAGCGUUGUCCGGAUUUAUUGGGCGUAAAGCGAGCGCAGGCGGUUAGAUAAGUCUGAAGUUAAAGGCUGUGGCUUAACCAUAGUACGCUUUGGAAACUGUUUAACUUGAGUGCAAGAGGGGAGAGUGGAAUUCCAUGUGUAGCGGUGAAAUGCGUAGAUAUAUGGAGGAACACCGGUGGCGAAAGCGGCUCUCUGGCUUGUAACUGACGCUGAGGCUCGAAAGCGUGGGGAGCAAACAGGAUUAGAUACCCUGGUAGUCCACGCCGUAAACGAUGAGUGCUAGGUGUUAGACCCUUUCCGGGGUUUAGUGCCGUAGCUAACGCAUUAAGCACUCCGCCUGGGGAGUACGACCGCAAGGUUGAAACUCAAAGGAAUUGACGGGGGCCCGCAC
rnacentral:rRNA from 1 species